rnacentral:rRNA from 1 species
CCUACGGGGGGCAGCAGUGGGGAAUAUUGGACAAUGGGGGCAACCCUGAUCCAGCCAUGCCGCGUGUGAGAAGAAGGCCCUCGUGUUGUAAAGCACUUUCAGUGAGGAAGAACGCCUGGUGGUUAAUACCCAUCAGGAAAGACAUCACUCACAGAAGAAGCACCGGCUAACUCCGUGCCAGCAGCCGCGGUAAUACGGAGGGUGCGAGCGUUAAUCGGAAUUACUGGGCGUAAAGCGCGCGUAGGUGGCUUGAUAAGCCGGUUGUGAAAGCCCCGGGCUCAACCUGGGAACGGCAUCCGGAACUGUCAAGCUAGAGUGCAGGAGAGGAAGGUCGAAUUCCCGGUGUAGCGGUGAAAUGCGUAGAGAUCGGGAGGAAUACCAGUGGCGAAGGCGGCCUUCUGGACUGACACUGACACGGAGGUGCGAAAGCGUGGGUAGCAAACAGGAUUAGAUACCCGGGUAGUC